GGAGGGCUGCCCAUAGUCUGAUGUCACAGGGCUUAGUGACAGGGUAGUGGAGGGUUGCCCAUAGUGAGACUGAGGUGAGGUCACAGAGGCUUCAUGUGACAGGGUAGUGGAGGGUUGCCCAUAGUGGCUUCAUGUGACAGGGUAGUGGAGGGUUGCCCAUAGUGAGACUGAGGUGAGGUCACAGAGGCUUCAUGUGACAGGGUAGUGGAGGGUUGCCCAUAGUGAGACUGAGGUGAGGUCACAGUGGAUGGGCAUUUGAAGGUAACACUGUCAGGUUGUGUGAGAAAGCUGCAGAUCAAGAUGGAAAAUGACCAGAUGUUUCCUAGGUUUGGAAGAGUUGCAUACAAGAUGACAAACAUUUGUAUUGAUUACUCAUCUGUUACCACACUACAAACAAUUAGAAGUAUUGUUUUUGUUUUGUUACCAUGUGUACCCAACAUUUAUGAUAUAUAUGCUUAUUAAUAUGUGCCAUGUCGUUGGAGACAGUGUCUUAAAUUAAAUUGGUUUUAGGUGUACUUACCUUUUUGUUUGGUGCAGCAUUAACCUACCAAUCAAGAAGUGCUUGGUGGCCAUUGGGUAAACUAAUCCAUAGCUAUUUUAAAGCCAAUGCUUUACAUAAAUAUCUUAGUGCUGCCUGUGGUGUGGAUGCAUGUCAUUGUUUUAUCAAGGAAUAUGAAUCUCUUAAAUCUCUUUAAAUAUUAUAUUUUUAAUAAAAUAUAUAUAUAUAUCUAUAUAUGUUAAGAGAUA